rfam:Bacteroides nordii CL02T12C05 genomic scaffold supercont1.5, whole genome shotgun sequence.
AUGAAAGUAAGAAAGGGCGCAUGGCGGAUGCCUUGGCUCUCGGAGGCGAUGAAGGACGUGAUAAGCUGCGAUAAGCUGCGGGUAGGUGCAAAUGACCUUUGAUCCGCGGAUUUCCGAAUGGGACAACCCAAUUGGUUGAAGACCAAUUAUACUGCACUGCAGUAGGCUAACGCAGGGAACUGAAACAUCUUAGUACCUGCAGGAAAAGAAAAUAAAUAAUGAUUCCCCUAGUAGUGGCGAGCGAACGGGGAAUAGCCCAAACCAAUUAUGUUACGGCAUAAUUGGGGUUGUAGGACCACGUUUUGGGACGAAAGUUGGUGAGUGGAAUGAUCUGGAAAGUUCAGUCAUAGACGGUGAUAACCCUGUACACGAAGCCAUCUGAACCCUAGUGGUAUCCUGAGUAGCGCGGAGCACGAGGAAUUCUGCGUGAAUCUGCCGGGACCAUCCGGUAAGGCUAAAUACUCCCGAGAGACCGAUAGCGAACCAGUACUGUGAAGGAAAGGUGAAAAGCACUUCGAAUAGAAGAGUGAAAUAGUCCCUGAAACCGUGCGCCUACAAGCGGUCGGAGCAGCUUUUUGUUGUGACGGCGUGCCUUUUGCAUAAUGAACCUACGAGUUACUUUUUCCGGCAAGGUUAAGCGUCUGAAGACGUGCAGCCGAAGCGAAAGCGAGUCUGAACAGGGCGUUAUAGUCGGAAGGAGUAGACGCGAAACCAAGUGAUCUACCCUUGGGCAGGUUGAAGGUUAGGUAACACUAACUGGAGGACCGAACCGAUAAGCGUUGAAAAGCUUCCGGAUGACCUGAGGGUGGGGGUGAAAGGCUAAUCAAACUUGGAGAUAGCUCGUACUCCCCGAAAUGCAUUUAGGUGCAGCCUUGUGAAUUACUAAUGUGAGGUAGAGCGACUGAUAAGAUGCGAGGGCUUCGCCGCCUAUCAAGUCUUGAUAAACUCCGAAUGCGCAUUAGUUCAAUCACAGGAGUGAGGGCAUGGGUGCUAAGGUCCAUGUCCGAAAGGAGAAGAAUCCAGACCAUCAGCUAAGGUCCCCAAAUAAACACUAAGUUGAACUAACGAAGUCAGAUUGCUAAGACAGCUAGGAUGUUGGCUUGGAAGCAGCCAUUCAUUUAAAGAGUGCGUAACAGCUCACUAGUCGAGGAGUUUGGCGUGGAUAAUAAUCGGGCAUUAAGUGUUUUACCGAAGCUAUGGGAUCAGUAAUGAUCGGUAGGGGAGCAUUCCACUCUGCGUUGAAGGUGUACCGUCAGGUAUGCUGGAGCGUGUGGAAAAGCAAAUGUAGGUAUAAGUAACGAUAAAGGGGGUGAGAAACCCCCUCGCCGAAAGACUAAGGUUUCCUGAUCAACGCUAAUCGGAUCAGGGUUAGUCGGGUCCUAAGGCUCAGCCGAACGGUGAUGCCGAUGGCAGAACAGGUUAAUAUUCCUGUACUACCUUUAGGAGUGACGUGGAGACGGAGGCGUGACAGCGCCGCGAACUGACGGAAUAGUUCGUUGAAGGGUGUAGAUGUUGAUUGCGGCAGGCAAAUCCACCGCAAGAGUCGAACCUGAUAGUAUGGAGCGUUCUUCUGAACAAUCCAAUAGUGCGUGUAAACAUACUCCCAAGAAAAUCCGCUAAACUUAAUCUUAAAGGUACCCGUACCGUAAACGGACACACGUAGUCGGGUUGAAUAUACUAAGGCGCUUGAGUGAAUCACGGUUAAGGAACUAGGCAAAUUGACCCUGUAACUUCGGGAUAAAGGGUCCCCGUCAGUGAUGGCGGGGCGCAGAGAAUAGGUCCAGGCAACUGUUUAACAAAAACACAGGGCUGUGCAAAAUUGAAAGAUCACGUAUACAGCCUGACACCUGCCCGGUGCUGGAAGGUUAAGAGGAGAUGUCAUCGCAAGAGAAGCAUUGAAUUGAAGCCCCAGUAAACGGCGGCCGUAACUAUAACGGUCCUAAGGUAGCGAAAUUCCUUGUCGGGUAAGUUCCGACCUGCACGAAUGGUGUAAUGAUCUGGACACUGUCUCAACCGUGAGCUCAGUGAAAUUGUAGUAUCGGUGAAGAUGCCGAUUACCCGCGAUGGGACGAAAAGACCCCGUGAACCUUUACUAUAGCUUAACAUUGAAUUUGGGUAAUUGAUGUGUAGGAUAGGCCGGAGACUUUGAAGCAGGUACGCCAGUAUUUGUGGAGUCGCUGUUGAAAUACGGCCCUUUGAUUAUUUGAGUUCUAACUCGUUGU